CAGCCGUAAACUAUGCUCGCUAGGUGUCAGGCAUGGCGCGACCGUGUCUGGUGCCGCAGGGAAGCCGUGAAGCGAGCCACCUGGGAAGUACGGCCGCAAGGCUGAAACUUAAAGGAAUUGGCAGGGGAGCACCACAACGGGUGGAGCCUGCGGUUUAAUUGGACUCAACGCCGGGAAGCUCACCGGAUAAGACAGCGGAAUGAUUGCCGGGCUGAAGACUCUGCAUGACUAGCUGAGAGGUGGUGCAUGGCGUAGACGUCU
rnacentral:rRNA from 1 species